AGGGGCGCUGGGCCACCCGGGACCGGUUUAGACCCAGUGUGAGUCUGAACCUGGUCCACUAGGACUUAAACAUCAGGCUUUCUCUGUUCAAA